ACUCAAACCAGCUGUAUUAAGGAAGGUGCAAGCUUUUGGGAUUUCUGUUUGGAUUUAGUUUAGGUUCAAAAGAGCACGCACAGAUCCUGAGUGUUGUCAAGCACCCGUGACUGGGAAACGGAGGCGUCCGAUCCGUAUUGGAGUCAAUUCGCCACUUAAUUGAACACAGCCUCGAAGGGAAGGGCCAUAUUUGUGGGCCUGUCUAACAAUUAAGAGUGACCACAUGGAAUGGGGGAUGAAAGGGUUAAAGAAGAACAAAUAUUGAACACAGCUUUUCUAUGAACAAACUGCAGGCAGCUGCUGCUUUGCAAGGGGAACUUCUUGGCUGCCAUUUCUGGAUGUCAAGGCUGCAGAUACACUGGUCAGGACCCUGGGUAGAGAGAGAUGCGUCAGAAUGCGGCUCCUUUCAGAAAGGCUUCUCCGGAGGUUGGUGAGGUCAGCUGACUACUAGAAGACAGAUCUAUUUGAAGAUUUUUGUGGUGGUCUUUACUACUCCAGAGAUUUACAGCUGAUGAAAAAUGGAGAAGUACAUGACCCUACCCUGCUGUUGGACAUGCUACCCAAGGAUCAUGACUGACAACUUGUCAACAUCACUAUUGCUUAUUUAAUAAAUGUGCAGUACUACUUCAAUAAACCUGGAAUCAUAAAAUUUUAGAGAACAAACCUUAAAUUACAU
ensembl:lincRNA